rnacentral:rRNA from 1 species
GACGAACGCUGGCGGCGUGCUUAACACAUGCAAGUCGAACGGAAAGGCCCUGCUUGCAGGGUACUCGAGUGGCGAACGGGUGAGUAACACGUGGGUGAUCUGCCCUGCACUUCGGGAUAAGCCUGGGAAACUGGGUCUAAUACCGGAUAGGAGCCAUUUUUAGUGUGAUGGUUGGAAAGUUUUUUCGGUGUAGGAUGAGCUCGCGGCCUAUCAGCUUGUUGGUGGGGUAAUGGCCUACCAAGGCGGCGACGGGUAGCCGGCCUGAGAGGGUGGACGGCCACAUUGGGACUGAGAUACGGCCCAGACUCCUACGGGAGGCAGCAGUGGGGAAUAUUGCACAAUGGGCGCAAGCCUGAUGCAGCGACGCCGCGUGGGGGAUGACGGCCUUCGGGUUGUAAACUCCUUUCGCUAGGGACGAAGCUUUUUGUGACGGUACCUAGAUAAGAAGCACCAGCUAACUACGUG